rfam:Clostridium sp. 27_14 Ley3_66761_scaffold_4015, whole genome shotgun sequence.
AUAAUGAUACUUCGGCUUGGCUUAACAUGAUGUUGAGGAGUCGCUCGGCUGAUAGCGGAGAGGUGAGAUUCCUAUGU